rnacentral:rRNA from 1 species
CCCUAUGGGGUGCACCAGGCCAACCAAUUUGUCGAGACCAUCAUGACCGCCGCCAUUUGUGCAGAGGAGUUACGCACUGUAGCGCGCCUGGAACUCGAUGGCGGUGGCAAGCUCCGUGGUGGACGGUCCAGAGGAAACCCAACGUCACAUGCUCGCGUAGAGAAUGAGCGACCGAUCAUCAAUCACUCGACGUUAUCCUUGUCAUGGGCAGGCAAAUCAUGCCAUCUGGGCUACACGAUCCUCUUCCGACUGGCGGAUCGCUUGUCGCAUCGGCCCAAUCAGUACGUCACGUGCGACCAGCUCCUCCAUGACGUCUGGGAGGGUGGCUUACGUUCCCCGGAUACCAUCCGCAGCGCCGCCAGGAACCUUCGGGAGCGUCUCACCCAGGCGGGGGGGC